GACAUAAAGCUCCUUAAAUUGAAAUUCAUUGCACGGGGGCUCUGAUGGCCCUUAACAGAUGGGAGAACAAUCUCAUUUGGAUGGUUAUGUAAUUCAGUGAUUAUCAUGGAACCCUUCGGAUCGUCUCAAACAGAAGGUGGACAACUCAAGGAGCCCGAUGCGGGGCUUGAUCCAAGGACCCUGGGAUCAAGACCUGAGCUGAAGGCGGACACUUGGCUGACCGAGCCACCCAGGCAUCCCUACCUUGGACUUUUUAAUUUGCCUAAACAUUAGCAGACCAGGGGGAGGUAGAGAUGUGCGGGCCAUGAGAGAUUGCAACGUGUUGGAAAGAACAUGGCAGUGACCAUGGGAAUGCCAAAUGCCAGGCGAACAGCAACAUCCCUGCAAAGUAAGAGUGCUGUUAGAGAAACGGGAUGAGUUAAUUUCCAGGCUCCAUUUUACAAAUUGGCACCUCUUCCGUUUGCCUUCGCCCAAAACCCUGAACAACCAAGCACCACCUCCCAUACAGAGCAGGAUGACAAAAGAAAGCCUUCAUGUGUAUGGCCUUU